UACGUAGGGUGCGAGCGUUAAUCGGAAUUACUGGGCGUAAAGCGUGCGCAGGCGGUUUUGUAAGCCAGAUGUGAAAGCCCCGGGCUCAACCUGGGAAUGGCAUUUGGGACUGCAAGGCUUGAGUGCGGCAGAGGAGACUGGAAUUCCCGGUGUAGCGGUGGAAUGCGUAGAGAUCGGGAAGAACAUCAGUGGCGAAGGCGGCCUGCUGGGCUGUUGCUGACGCUGAGGCGCGAAAGCUAGGGUAGCAAACGGG
rnacentral:rRNA from 1 species